UGUCUUCAGGGCGGGGUGAAACUCCCCACUGGCGGUAAAGUCCGCGACCGAAUGUGGCAGCACAUUCGCUGACCCGGUGGAACUCCGGGACCAACGGUCACAGUCCGGAUGGAAGAAGAUG
rnacentral:ncRNA from 1 species